rnacentral:rRNA from 1 species
CAGUAGCCGCGGUAAUACGAAGGGUGCAAGCGUUAAUCGGAAUUACUGGGCGUAAAGCGCGCGUAGGUGGUUCAUUAAGUUGGAUGUGAAAGCCCUGGGCUCAACCCCGGAACCGCAUUUGAAACUAGGUGACUAGAAUCUUGGAGAGGUCAGUGGAAUUCCGAGUGUAGCGGUGAAAUGCGUAGAUAUUCGGAAGAACACCAGUGGCGAAGGCGACUGACUGGACAAGUAUUGACGCUGAGGUGCGAAAGCGUGGGGAGCAAACAGGAUUAGAUACCCCUGUAGUCCCUGUCUCUUAUAC